rnacentral:rRNA from 1 species
CCUACGGGUGGCUGCAGUGAGGAAUAUUGGUCAAUGGACGAGAGUCUGAACCAGUCAAGUAGCGUGAAGGAUGACUGCCCUAUGGGUUGUAAACUUCUUUUAUAUGGGAAUAAAACGUUCCACGUGUGGGAUUUUGUAUGUACCAUAUGAAUAAGGAUCGGCUAACUCCGUGCCAGCAGCCGCGGUAAUCCGGAGGAUCCGAGCGUUAUCCAGAUUUAUUGGGUUUAAAGGGAGCGUAGGUGGAUUGUUAAGUCAGUUGUGAAAGUUUGCGGCUCAACCGUAAAAUUGCAGUUGAAACUGGCAGUCUUGAGUACAGUAGAGGUGGGCGGAAUUCGUGGUGUAGCGGUGAAAUGCUUAGAUAUCACGAAGAACUCCGAUUGCGAAGGCAGUUCACUGAACUGCAACUGACACUGAGGCUCGAAAGUGUGGGUAUCAAACAGGAUUAGAUACCCGUGUAGUC